rnacentral:rRNA from 1 species
UACGUAGGGUGCGAGCGUUAAUCGGAAUUACUGGGCGUAAAGCGUGCGCAGGCGGUGAUGUAAGACAGAUGUGAAAUCCCCGGGCUUAACCUGGGAACUGCAUUUGUGACUGCAUGGCUAGAGUGCGGCAGAGGGGGAUGGAAUUCCGCGUGUAGCAGUGAAAUGCGUAGAUAUGCGGAGGAACACCGAUGGCGAAGGCAAUCCCCUGGGCCUGCACUGACGCUCAUGCACGAAAGCGUGGGGAGCAAACAGG